GCUGAUGUAGCUCAGUUGGUAGAGCUGCUGCUUUGUAAGCAGCCGGUCGCAGGUUCGAUUCCUGUCGUCAGCA
rnacentral:tRNA from 1 species